UGCGUAGGCGGACUCUUAAGUCAGUGGUGAAAGCCCAUAGCUCAACUAUGGAACUGCCAUUGAAACUGGGAGUCUUGAAUUCGAUUGAGGCAGAUAGAAUAUAACAUGUAGCGGUGAAAUGCUUAGAUAUGUUAUAGAAUACCGAUUGCGAAGGCAGUCUGCUAAGUCGACAUUGACGCUGAGGCACGAAAGCGUGGGGAGCGAACA
rnacentral:rRNA from 1 species